rnacentral:lncRNA from 1 species
UCCCCUUAUUUUCUUUUUUAGGCUGAAGCUGUUGUGGAAGUUGCCAUGUAACUGUGUUCAAGUUUCACCUCUGAUGUGCUCAGCUUGUCUGCACUCCUUAGAACACAGUGACAAUUCUUUUCAAUUUAUUAGAAGGACUUUCCUGAUAAGAGCAGUGCAUCCUAGAAAACUUCCUUACUGUUGUGGUGUUUCAGAAAUAUCUCUAAAGGAGAGAGGGCAUUGGAAAUUGCCAUGAUUGCGUCAGUGUUGAUCAUGCUUCUGCCGCCAAAAGUAUUUCAAGUUUUUGAAGGACGUUUAUUCCCCAAGAUCACCAUAUGCCUGAUGUCACUACUACAGUACCUAUCAUUUUCCGGCAUCAGCAACAGUCUUAUAUUGAAAUUUGAAGUCUGCUCUUGGAGAUCAAACUUCUGCAAAAAGAUGAAGCACACCUUCUGUUUCAAAGGACAGCAGGUUAGACCUCUCCUGACAUCCAAACUUUGUGUUUACUGGAGCUGGUGUGUACUUUGAGCUCACGAGUUGUCCUUAAGCUGCUGCAGUUAUUACAGUGGUGUAUUACCUUUCAUUCUACCCACCAAAUCUCUCAUGGCUCAUUUGGCCUGCACUGUGAUGUUCUGUGAGAUUGUUUUCAUUUCUCAGUAACUUAUAUCACAGAGUGUCUCAGGUUUAGCCAUAACUCUAUUUUCACUGACAGGCUCCUCUCUGCUCUUCCUUUUGCAGCUGGCUCUUGAGGAGAGCACUCAUAAAGCAUGGACACUUAGGAUCUCAAUUUAAAGAACCUGCCAAAUUACACCUUCAAAUAGGCAUGAAGGCAGGAUCACACGUUGAAAGCAGGCAGUAGAAUGGUUUAUUUUUACAAACAGAGAUAGACCAGGAGGGUCACUUUCAUGUAUAAUAGUAGGACUUCUGGUUUAGUGCAUCAUUCUUUAUGCUGCACUGUCCUAUUUACAGUCUUGUAAUGUCAGAAAAACACUUUCCAUUGUAUUUAGGUUCUCUUAUUUUAUGGCAACAUGUAGAAAGAUACAGAAGCAAUUCUGCUAAAGGUUGCUGAAAUUUUGUUGAAUAAUGUUCCCCUUCACAUCAUUACAUGAUAUUGUUUUGCAGGAACUGGAAUGGGUACCGUGAAAGUUGAGAACUCUGGUGAUCUGUAGCUUGGCAACUACAGCAGUAGCCUGAGAUCUGGAAGGCACAGAUAUGCUCAAUUUAUUGCUCUGCAGAAAAAAAUUCUGGGGAUAU